rnacentral:rRNA from 1 species
UACGUAGGGUGCGAGCGUUGUCCGGAAUUAUUGGGCGUAAAGAGCUCGUAGGCGGUCUGUCGCGUCGGCUGUGAAAACUCGGGGCUCAACUCCGAGCUUGCAGUCGAUACGGGCAGGCUAGAGUUCGGCAGGGGGAGACUGGAAUUCCUGGUGUAGCGGUGAAAUGCGCAGAUAUCAGGAGGAACACCGGUGGCGAAGGCGGGUCUCUGGGCCGAUACUGACACUGAGGAGCGAAAGCGUGGGGAGCGAACAGG